UACAGAGGUCUCAAGCGUUGUUCGGAUUCAUUGGGCGUAAAGGGUGCGUAGGUGGCAUGGUAAGUCGGAUGUGAAAUCCCGGGGCUCAACCCCGGAACUGCAUUCGAUACUGCUGCGCUAGAGUACUGGAGAGGAGAUUGGAAUUUACGGUGUAGCAGUGAAAUGCGUAGAUAUCGUAAGGAAGACCAGUGGCGAAGGCGGAUCUCUGGACAGUUCCUGACACUGAGGCACGAAGGCCAGGGGAGCAAACGGG
rnacentral:rRNA from 1 species